AGAGUUUGAUCCUGGCUCAGGACGAACGCUGGCGGCGUGCUUAACACAUGCAAGUCGAGCGGAAAGGCCACUUCGGUGGUACUCGAGCGGCGAACGGGUGAGUAACACGUGAGUAAUCUGCCCUUGGCUUUGGGAUAGCCACCGGAAACGGUGAUUAAUACCGGAUAUGACCACUUCACGCAUGUGAUGGUGGUGGAAAGUUUUUCGGCCAGGGAUGUGCUCGCGGCCUAUCAGCUUGAUGGUGAGGUAAUGGCUCACCAUGGCUUCGACGGGUAGCCGGCCUGAGAGGGUGACCGGUCACACUGGGACUGAGACACGGCCCAGACUCCUACGGGAGGCAGCAGUGGGGAAUAUUGGACAAUGGGCGGAAGCCUGAUCCAGCAACGCCGCGUGAGGGAUGACGGCCUUCGGGUUGUAAACCUCUUUCGCCUGUGACGAAGCGCAAGUGACGGUAACAGGUAAAGAAGCACCGGCCAACUACGUG
rnacentral:rRNA from 1 species